ACCAUGCAACAUCAAUAGAACAAAGUGGAAGAGGCGAGAGAGAGAGUCUCUACCCUCCCCUCCCAUUUCGCGCCGUUUCUCUCCCCUAAAACCGUGAGAGGUGCGUAAACAGGGCAGACGUUCAUUCUAAUUGCGCCGCAGGGAAACAGACGCCGGAGUUAAAUCUAACCAUGGGGAGUUCCACGAGCUACCGGUGUCUCGGUCAUCAUCCGUGGGAGAAAAAUAAACGAAUCACAAGAGUCAGAGACAGUAGAAUAACUUGGCUGCCCGCUUUUCAAACAAAGGCACAGUGGAGAGACGAGAGUGAAUUCAAGCAGGCGUGAGUAGGCUAAUGCAAAUAUGCCUGGGAAGCCGUACUCUAUCAUUCUGAUAUUUGAUCUCUUUGGUGCAUUGUACUAUUUUGGUAGGCUAGUUUAUGACAACGAGCCUCAAUAUGGGGCGACCGACCAUUGAAACAGGUUUAAACUAGGCUGCCGAGGCUACGCCUCUCUCUCAUUCGGUCAAUCUGUCGAGAUUAUGCUGGGAGCGACUAUGCACAGAUGGCUGCUCUAUUAAUCCCACCUCCAGCGCUCUAAAACGCUCUAAAAUCUAUUGCUAUUCCGCUUUGUGUAUCCUAUGUGAGCGGAACCUGGUGAAGACCCAUUACGGUUUACAUUUAGCUGCAAUAAAACAGACCGUCAAGGUAACAAAACAUUAUGCGAGUGUUCUCUUUAUGUGGACCGCAGCAGUGCGUCUUUCUGUAGACGCAUUGCCGCACUGCCCCUCCCCCAUCUCUCUCUCCCUCUCUCUCUGCAUUGCGGGCGAUAGCACAGGCCACAAUAGCGUAUCUAUCACAUAGACUGGAGCGAACGAGAUGAAACACACGCCCCUGAACUAUACAGGCAUUGAAUAAUUACAGCACCUUGUUGCACAGACUAGUGUUUGCAAGAGGGAAUGUUUGUGUGAGAGGGAAAAUUGAGUGGCAAACAAAAUGUAACUACUUAGAGGUUCAUACAGUCAGGAAACCUGAUUGUCAUUCAAUAAUUGUCAGGAUGUUGUACAUGGUGAAAAACAACAAAACACACAGCAAUCACAUAAAACAAGGGUCUUAAGCCUAUGACCAACAGGUGUUUAAAAACGUCAUUUCAGUUCACAUGACAGCAGUGUAUGUCCCCCACACAAAGGCUCCCUUGAGGCUGCAGUAUAAAACAUGCAGUGCCAGUCAAAAGUUUGGACACUUCUACUCAUUCCAGGGGUUUUCUUUAUUUUCACUACUUUCUACAUUGUAGAUGAAUAGAGAAGACAUCAAAACUAUACAAUAACACAUAUGAAUCAUGUAGUAACCAAAAGUGUUAAACAAAUCAAAAUAUAUUUGAGAUUCUUCAAAGUAGCCACCCUUUGCCUUGACAGCUUUGCACACUCUUGGCAUUCUCUCAACCAGCUUCAUGAGGUAGUCACCUGGAAAGCAUUUAAAUGAACAGGUGUGCCUUGUUAAAAGUUCAUUUAUGGAAUGUCUUUCCUUCUUAAUGUGUUUGAGCCAAUCAGCUGAGUUGUGACAAGGUCGGGUGGUAUACAGAAGAUAGCCCCAUUUGGUAAAAUACCAAGUCUAUAUUACAUUGAGAACAGCUCAAAUAAGCAAAGAGAAACGAUAGUCCAUCAUUACUAUAAGACAUUGAAGGUCAGUCAAUCCAGAAAAUGCCCAAAACGUUGAAAGUUUCUUCAAGUGCAGUCACAAAAACCAUCAAGCGCUAUGAUGAAACUGGCUCUCAUGAGGACCACCACAGGAAAGGAAGAGCCAGAGUUACCUCUGCUGCAGAGGAUAAGUUCAUUAGAGUUACCAGCCUCAGAAAUUACUGCCCAAAUAAAUGCUUCACAGAGUUCAAGUAACAGACACAUCUCAACAUCAACUGUUCAGAAGAGACUGUGUGAAUCAGGCCUUCAUGGUCAAAUUGCUGCAAAGAAACCACUACUAAAGGACACAAAUAAGAAAAAGAGACUUGCUUGGGCCAAGAAACACGAACAAUGGACAUUAGACUGGUGGAAAUCUGUCAUUUGGUCUGAUGAGUCCAAAUUUGAGAUUUUUGGUUCCAACUGCCGUGUCUUUGUGAGAUGCAGAGACAAUGACCCAACACACCUCCAGGCUGUGUAAGGACUAUUUGACCAAGAAGGAGAGGGAUGGAGUGCUGCAUCAGAUGACCUGGCCUCCACAAUCACCCGACCUCAACCCAAUUGAGAUAGUUUGGCAUGAGUUGGACCGCAGAGUGAAGGUAAAGCAGCCAACAAGUGCUCAGCACCUUCAAGACUGUUGGAAAAUCAUUCCAGGUGAAGCUGGUUGACAGAAUGCCAAGAGUGUGGAAAGCUGUCAUCAAGGCAAAGGGUGGCUACUUUAAAGAAUCUAAAAUAUAAAAUAUAUUUUGAUUGAACACUUUUAAUACAUUAUUCCAUAUGUGUUAUUUCAUAGUUUUGAUGUAUUCACUAUUAUUCUACAAUGUAGAAAAUAGUAAAAAUAAAGAAAAACCCUUGAAUAGGUGUGUCCAAACUUUCGGCUGGUACUGUAUUACAGGCUCAAAUUAACAAGUCCCAUCAGGCAUAGUGGUAGAAUGUCUCGCCUAUGGAGAAUAAUGACAUUUUUCCAGCCAGUGGCUCUCUAGUGGUGCUGUCCAUGGUGCUGAAACAGGCCUCUACAUUUUCUGUCAUUAUGUGGAAUCCAGACUUUCAGACUCAACACUCACUCAGAGAGAGAUUGUAAGAGAGUGUAUCUGGUCCCAAAACACCCCUUGUCCCUAUUCCUGUCCCCUAUGUGACGUGUAAAUCCAGGCCCCCAUACAACAUGGUGGAAUCUCCCAUCAAACCUAUGGCAUGAUCAGCAACACUCCAAAAAUGCUAUAUUACAUGCAGGAACCCAAAUCUGUAGAAAUAUAUUACAUCCCUAGCCGGCUACCACCCGGUUACUCAACUCCGCACCUUAUAGGCUGUUGACCUAUAUACAUACUGUAGACAUGGAAUCACUGGUCACUUUAAUAAUUAUAACACUGCUUUACUCAUCUCAUAUGUAUAUACUGUAUUCUACUGUAUUUUAGUCAAUGCCACUCCGACAUUGCUCGUCCAAAUAUUUAUAUGUUUCUCCAUUCCAUUCUUUUACUUGUAGAUUUGUGUGUAUUGUUAGAUACUACAGCACUGUUGGAGCUAGGAAAACAAGCAUUUCGCUACACCCGCAAUAACAUCUGCUAAAUGUGUCUAUGUGACCAAUGCAAUUUGAUUUGAUUUAAAACAGUAAAUUGUCUGUCACGUUCUGACCUUAGUUCUGUUAUUAUAUCUUUGUAUUAGUAUGGUCAGGGCGUGAGUUGGGUGGGCAGUCUAUGUUUGUUUUUCUAUGUUGGUUUUUGAGUUCGGCCUAGUAUGGUUCUCAAUCAGAGGCAGCUGUCAAUUGUAGUCCCUGAUUGAGAAUCAUACUUAGGUAGCCUGGGUUUCACUUUUGGGUUGUGGGUGUUUGUUUUCCGUGUUUUCGGUUUUGUAUAUUCACGUCAUCGUUUGUUGUUUUGUUCCAGUGUUCUAUUGUCUUGAUUAAAAAACAUUAUGGACACCUAC